rnacentral:tRNA from 1 species
GGGCUGGGGCUCAGCGGUAGAACGCUCUCCUAGCAUGUGCGAGGCACUGGGUUCAAUCCUCAGUACCACA